GACGGAGGAUGCAAGCGUUAUCCGGAAUUAUUGGGCGUAAAGCGUCCGCAGGUGGACAUACAAGUCUGCUGUCAAAGUGCAGAGCUUAACUCUGUAAAGGCGGUGGAAACUGUAGGUCUUGAGUAUGGUAGGGGUAGAGGGAAUUCCCGGUGUAGCGGUGAAAUGCGUAGAGAUCGGGAAGAACAUCGGUGGCGAAAGCGCUCUACUGGACCGCAACUGACACUCAGGGACGAAAGCUAGGGGAGCGAAUGGG
rnacentral:rRNA from 1 species